GAUGAACGCUGGCGGCGUGCCUAAUACAUGCAAGUCGAGCGAACGGACGAGAAGCUUGCUUCUCUGAUGUUAGCGGCGGACGGGUGAGUAACACGUGGAUAACCUACCUAUAAGACUGGGAUAACUUCGGGAAACCGGAGCUAAUACCGGAUGAUAUUUUGAACCGCAUGGUUCAAAAGUGAAAGACGGUCUUGCUGUCACUUAUAGAUGGAUCCGCGCUGCAUUAGCUAGUUGGUAAGGUAACGGCUUACCAAGGCAACGAUGCAUAGCCGACCUGAGAGGGUGAUCGGGCACACUGGAACUGAGACACGGUCCAGACUCCGACGGGAGGCAGCAGUAGGGAAUCUUCCGCAAUGGGCGAAAGCCUGACGGAGCAACGCCGCGGGAGUGAUGAAGGUCUUCGGAUCGUAAAACUCUGUUAUUAGGGAAGAACAUAUGUGUAAGUAACUGUGCACAUCUUGACGGUACCUAAUCAGAAAGCCACGGCUAACUACGUG
rnacentral:rRNA from 1 species